rnacentral:rRNA from 1 species
GACGGGACCCGCACAAGCGGUGGAGCAUGUGGUUUAAUUCGAAGCAACGCGAAGAACCUUACCAAAUCUUGACAUCCUUUGACAACUCUAGAGAUAGAGCUUUCCCUUCGGGGGACAAAGUGACAGGUGGUGCAUGGUUGUCGUCAGCUCGUGUCGUGAGAUGUUGGGUUAAGUCCCGCAACGAGCGCAACCCUUAUCUUUAGUUGCCAUCAUUAGGUUGGGCACUCUAGAGAGACUGCCGGUGACAAACCGGAGGAAGGUGGGGAUGACGUCAAAUCAUCAUGCCCCUUAUGAUUUGGGCUACACACGUGCUACAAUGGAUGGUACAAAGGGCUGCGAUACCGCGAGGUGGAGCGAAUCCCAGAAAGCCGGUCUCAGUUCGGAUUGGGGUCUGCAACUCGACCCCAUGAAGUCGGAGUCGCUAGUAAUCGCAGAUCAGCAACGCUGCGGUGAAUACGUUCCCGGGCCUU